AUUGAACGCUGGCGGCAUGCCUUACACAUGCAAGUCGAACGGCAGCACGGGUGCUUGCACCUGGUGGCGAGUGGCGAAAGGGUGAGUAAUACAUCGGAACAUGUCCUGUAGUGGGGGAUAGCCCGGUGAAAGCCGGAUUAAUACCGCAUAAGAUCCACGGAUGAAAGCGGGGGACCUUCUGGCCUCGCGAUAUAGGGUUGGCCGAUGGGUGAUUAGCUUGUUGGUGGUGUAAAGGCCUACCAAGGCGACGAUCAGUAGUGGGUCGGAGAGGACGACCAGCCACACUGGGACUGGAACACGGCCCAGACUCCUACGGGAGGAGGCAGUGGGGAAUUUUGGACAAUGGGCGAAAGCCUGAUCCAGCAAGGCCGCGUGUGUGAAAAAGGCCUUCGGGUUGUAAAGCACUUUUGUCCGGAAAGAAAUCCUUGACUCUAAUACAGUCGGGGGAUGACGGUACCGGAAGAAUAAGCACCGGCUAACUACGUG
rnacentral:rRNA from 1 species